UCUCUGUUAGUAUAUCGGUUAGUACACGCGCUUGUCAUGAUAUCUCCGCUUGUACUGCCCGCGCGAAAGCGGGGUUCGACUCCCCGACAGAGAG
rnacentral:tRNA from 1 species